CCAGACUCUACGGAGGCAGCAGUGGGGAAUAUUGCGCAAUGGAGGAAACUCUGAGCAGCAACGCCGCGUGAGUGAGGAAGGCUUUCGGGUCGUAAAGCUCUGUCAAAUGGGAAGAACCGUAGUUGGUCUAAUAGCCUUCUCCUGACGGUACCA
rnacentral:rRNA from 1 species